rnacentral:rRNA from 1 species
AUUUCACUCUUUCUUUAGGCCUAACACAUGCAAGUCGAACGGCAGCACAGUAAGAGCUUGCUCUUACGGGUGGCGAGUGGCGGACGGGUGAGGAAUACAUCGGAAUCUACUUUUUCGUGGGGGAUAACGUAGGGAAACUUACGCUAAUACCGCAUACGACCUACGGGUGAAAGCAGGGGAUCUUCGGACCUUGCGCGAUUGAAUGAGCCGAUGUCGGAUUAGCUAGUUGGCGGGGUAAAGGCCCACCAAGGCGACGAUCCGUAGCUGGUCUGAGAGGAUGAACAGCCACACUGGAACUGAGACACGGUCCAGACUCCUACGGGAGGCAGCAGUGGGGAAUAUUGGACAAUGGGCGCAAGCCUGAUCCAGCCAUACCGCGUGGGUGAAGAAGGCCUUCGGGUUGUAAAGCCCUUUUGUUGGGAAAGAAAAGCAGCAGGUUAAUACCCCGCUGUUCUGACGGUACCCAAAGAAUAAGCACCGGCUAACUUCGUG